rnacentral:misc_RNA from 1 species
GCCGAUUCUGUUGACGGGGAACCAUCAUCAGCUCCAAAGGCAAGAAGAAAGAGGGUCAUUCGGAAGAAGGUGUCUGCAAGUUAAGCAUGAUUCAGUUGAUGUAAUUGCUCAUCAUCAUCCAAUUUUGCAACCUAUUAAAUGAUAUGAAACAAUGCAUCAAAUUGAGGAUUAAAAACGGCUCGGAGUAAAUUGAUCAUGAUUCCUGUGAAUACAUCUGCAAAAAAGUUGCAAGAUGAUGGCACCAAAGCGACUAUCACUUGAAGUAUUUUUUUUUUUUUUUGGGAAAAUAUGUUGAUUCCUUGUACUCGCUUAUUUUGUUUGUUUUGUAGUACAAUGAUAUUGACCGCAACUAGUUUUUUAA